rnacentral:rRNA from 1 species
AGCGAACGCUGGCGGCAGGCCUAACACAUGCAAGUCGAACGAACCUUUCGGGGUUAGUGGCGGACGGGUGAGUAACACGUGGGAACGUGCCUUUAGGUUCGGAAUAACUCAGGGAAACUUGUGCUAAUACCGAAUGUGCCCUCGGGGGAAAGAUUUAUCGCCUUUAGAGCGGCCCGCGUCUGAUUAGCUAGUUGGUUGAGGUAAUGGCUCACCAAGGCGACGAUCAGUAGCUGGUCUGAGAGGAUGAUCAGCCACAUUGGGACUGAGACACGGCCCAAACUCCUACGGGAGGCAGCAGUGGGGAAUCUUGCGCAAUGGGCGAAAGCCUGACGCAGCCAUGCCGCGUGAAUGAUGAAGGUCUUAGGAUUGUAAAAUUCUUUCACCGGGGACGAUAAUGACGGUACCCGGAGAAGAAGCCCCGGCUAACUUCGUG